CUUCAACCUGUGCCGGGUUAAUGAAAUGGACAUGCGUAUCGAUUCCUCCCGCAGUGACAAUCAUACCUUCACCGGCAAUGAUUUCGGUUGAAGCACCGAUGACAAUAUCUACACCAUCCAUGACCAAUGGAUUACCGGCUUUUCCAAUUGCAGCGAUUUUCCCAUCACGGAUGGCAAUAUCUGCUUUGACAAUCCCUGUAUAAUCUAAAAUAACUGCAUUCGUGAUAACUACAUCCGGGAUGCCAUCCCCUCUGGUUACUAGUGGAUGCUGCCCCAUUCCGUCACG
rnacentral:sRNA from 1 species